UUCCAGCCCCAUCCUGUGUGGGGAUGGCAGGACAGUACAGCCAAUGUCUUCUCCAGAUUUACAAAUGCCCAACGUGUUUGCGAAGAAAUGAUCUAGUCACUUCUGGGCAGGGGGACCAAUCAGAGAUUGGAUGUAUCCAUUGCUGGCUGAAACAGUCUUUGCGGUCUUUGGCCACGCCCAGAACCCUCGUCUGCUCUGUCUCUCCUCCCAGACAGACACUCCCGAGUUCAUGUCGGGAGAAGGAUGGCUCCCAGCUCCCCAGGGGAGGGAUUCAAGCCGUGGGAAGAGCCGAGCUCCAAGGACAUCGUGUUACACCCACUAAAAUGGUGUCAGGAGGCUCGGGAGGGAGGCGGCUCCAGGAACAAAGUACGACGAGGCCUGGGACUGUGUGGGAACAAUCUGGGCCUCACAGCUGCUCUGUGACAGCCCGUGUCCUCAGGUCCUUCCGGGCGGGGCCUCCUGAGCCUCCCACAGCACCUCUGCCACCCUUUUCCAGCACUUGGGCUGCUGUUCCACCUGGCCUCCAGCCCCUGAGGGGUGCCAGCCACACCAUGGAUGGGGAGGAGAGCCCCAUUUGGGGUAGUCACCUUGGAUACCUCUUUGCAUCCAGGGCGGUGGACCCUGUGUUUGGGGAGAAGUCCCGAUUCAGAAUUUGGAAUUGGGGUUUUGUGCUAAUUGGAUGCUUUUCUUCUGGCUUCAAAAUAAUCUUGUUUUGGUUGCUAAGAAACGCUCUUAAUUGA
rnacentral:lncRNA from 1 species